rnacentral:rRNA from 1 species
UACGGGGGGGGCAAGCGUUGUUCGGAAUUACUGGGCGUAAAGGGCGCGUAGGCGGCCUUCUAAGUCGGACGUGAAAUCCCUCGGCUUAACCGAGGAGCUGCGUCCGAUACUGAAAGGCUUGAAUCCGGGAGAGGGAUGUGGAAUUCCAGGUGUAGCGGUGAAAUGCGUAGAUAUCUGGAGGAACACCGGUGGCGAAGGCGGCAUCCUGGACCGACACUGACGCUGAGGCGCGAAAGCCAGGGGAGCAAACGGG